rnacentral:rRNA from 1 species
AUUGAACGCUGGCGGCAGGCCUAACACAUGCAAGUCGAACGAGUGGCGGACGGGUGAGUAAUGUCUGGGAAACUGCCCGAUGGAGGGGGAUAACUACUGGAAACGGUAGCUAAUACCGCAUACCCUCGGAUGUGCCCAGAUUGGAUUAGAUAGUAGGUGGGGUAACGGCUCACCUAGGCGACGAUCCCUAGCGGGUCUGAGAGGAUGACCAGCCACACGGGAACGGAGACACGGCCCAGACUCCUACGGGAGGCAGCAGUGGGGAAUAUUGCACAAGGGGCGCAAGCCUGAGGAAGCAAGGCCGGUGGGAUGAGGAAGGCCUUCGGUUGGUAAAGUACGUUAAGCGAGGAGGCGGUACUCGCAUAAGAAGCACCGGCUAACUACGUGCCAGCAGCCGCGGUAAUUC